UACAGAGGUCCCAAGCGUUGUUCGGAUUCACUGGGCGUAAAGGGUGCGUAGGUGGUGAGGUAAGUCGGAUGUGAAAGCUCGGAGCUCAACUCCGAAAUGGCAUUGGAAACUACCUUGCUCGAGGGUUGGAGGGGGGGACUGGAAUGCUUGGUGUAGCAGUGAAAUGCGUAGAUAUCAAGCGGAACACCAGUGGCGAAGGCGGCUCACUGGCCCGGUACUGACGCUGAGGUGCGAAAAGCGUGGGGAGCAAACAGG
rnacentral:rRNA from 1 species